CCUUAGUAAGCGGCGGAUGGGUGAGUAACACGUGGGCAACCUGCCCUGCAGUGGGGGAUAACUCCGGGAAACCGGGGCUAAUACCGAAUAAUCAGUUCCUUCGCAUGAAGGAACUCUGAAAGACGGCUAUGCUGUCACUGCAGGAUGGGCCCGCGGCGCAUUAGCUAGUUGGUGAGGUAACGGCUUACCAAGGCGACGAUGCGUAGCCGACCUGAAAGGGUGAUCGGCCACACUGGGACUGAGACACGGCCCAAACUCCUACGGGAGGCAGCAGUAGGGAAUCUUCACAAUGGACGAAAGUCUGAUGGAGCAACGCCGCGUGAGCGAAGAAGGUUUUCGGAUCGUAAAGCUCUGUUGUGAGGGAAGAACAAGUACAGGAGUAACUGCCUGUACCUUGACGGUACCUCAUUAGAAAGCCACGGCUAACUACGUGCCAGCAGCCGCGGUAAUACGUAGGUGGCAAGCGUUGUCCGGAAUUAUUGGGCGUAAAGCGCGCGCAGGCGGCCUUUUAAGUCUGAUGUGAAAGCCCACGGCUUAACCGUGGAAGGUCAUUGGAAACUGGAAGGCUUGAGUACAGAAGAGGAAAGCGGAAUUCCACGUGUAGCGGUGAAAUGCGUAGAGAUGUGGAGGAACACCAGUGGCGAAGGCGGCUUUCUGGUCUGUAACUGACGCUGAGGCGCGAAAGCAUGGGGAGCAAACAGGAUUAGAUACCCUGGUAGUCCAUGCCGUAAACGAUGAGUGCUAAGUGUUAGGGGGUUUCCGCCCCUUAGUGCUGGAGCAAACGCAUUAAGCACUCCGCCUGGGGAGUACGGCCGCAAGGCUGAAACUCAAAGGAAUUGACGGGGACCCGCACAAGCGGUGGAGCAUGUGGUUUAAUUCACCAGUGGCGAAGGCGGCUUUCUGGUCUGUAACUGACGCUGAGGCGCGAAAGCAUGGGGAGCAAACAGGAUUAGAUACCCUGGUAGUCCAUGCCGUAAACGAUGAGUGCUAAGUGUUAGGGGGUUUCCGCCCCUUAGUGCUGGAGCAAACGCAUUAAGCACUCCGCCUGGGGAGUACGGCCGCAAGGCUGAAACUCAAAGGAAUUGACGGGGACCCGCACAAGCGGUGGAGCAUGUGGUUUAAUUCGAAGCUACGCGAAGAACCUUACCAGGUCUUGACAUCCCGCUGACCGGUAUAGAGAUAUACUUUUCCCUUCGGGGACAGCGGUGACAGGUGGUGCAUGGUUGUCGUCAGCUCGUGUCGUGAGAUGUUGGGUUAAGUCCCGUAACGAGCGCAACCCUUGACCUUAGUUGCCAGCAUUUAGUUGGGCACUCUAAGGUGACUGCCGGUGACAAACCGGAGGAAGGUGGGGAUGACGUCAAAUCAUCAUGCCCCUUAUGACCUGGGCUACACACGUGCUACAAUGGACGGUACAGAGGGUUGCCAACCCGCGAGGGGGAGCUAAUCCCAUAAAACCGUUCCCAGUUCGGAUUGCAGGCUGCAACUCGCCUGCAUGAAGCAGGAAUCGCUAGUAAUC
rnacentral:rRNA from 1 species